AGGAUGAACGCUGGCGGCGUGCCUAACACAUGCAAGUCGAACGUCCUGUCUCGCAAGAGGCAGGGAGUGGCGGACGGGUGAGUACCACGUGGGUCAUCUACCGUGAGGUGAGGAAUACCGGCGAGAAAUCGCCGACAAGACCGCAUAGGCUCGAUGCAAGUCGAGCAAAGCUCUUUCGAGAGAGGGAGCGCCACACGAGGAGCCUGCGCCCGAUUAGCUAGCUGGUGGAGUAACGGUUCACCAGGGCGACGAUCGGUAGCUGGUCUGAGAGGACGAUCAGCCACACUGGGAUUGAGAACGGCCCAGACUCCUACGGGGGGCAGCAGUGAGGAAUUUUCGUCAAUGGGGGCAACCCUGAACGAGCAACGCCGCGUGCAGGAAGAAGGUUUUCGGAUCGUAAACUGCUUUCUCGGGAGAGAAUGGACGGUACCGAGGAAUCAGCCCCGGCUAACUACGCGCCAGCAGCCGCGGU
rnacentral:rRNA from 1 species